UCCAAAUUGAUCCUUAUUCCAUUGGAACUUUCUGUUUGAUCUCCUAUGUUGAUACCCUGCUAGGUAUCUUCCAUUCAACACAACAGCAAGUUGAUGAAAAUACAAAAAUAUUCCUUGCACAUGAAAAAUUAAAAUGUUACAAAUUUGAUUCUUGAAGAUAAAAGAACUGGAAGUGUAAUUAGAAUAUCCCCCUCAUGAGAAACCAACCCAUGGCUGUUCUGCUUCAUCACAUCAAUGUCAACAAGAUACUUAUUAUCCUCUAAAUGGAGCUAGGCAUCACAUUACAACCACAAACUCCGUACUCCUUAAUAUGCCUGUGAUGAAGCAAAUGAACAACACAUGGUGUUGCAAUAGAAGAAUGUGACAUGGCAAAUACCAAGGUAAAAGUUGUAUGAUACUCUUUCAUACUAACUUUUAAGUUUCAUGAAAGAAUAGAAGUGUAGCCAUCAAUUAUUUGGCAAUGCAUUAAAGGAAACCUAACGAGAUCCAUGAUUCCAACAGAUGACCAAUCUUUGUCUACAUUAUCACCAAAAAGAUACCGUCCCAUCAGUUGCAAAAGCAACAGCCACAAAAGAUUAAAAGACUAAUUGAAAACAAACAAACAAGACAUUCAGUUUCUGAACUUCAAUGCUUCAUCGUAUCCUGGAAAUUGUCUCAUCAUCUUCCUGAAUUUUAUUCCAAGAGGAAAACUGAAAAAUGCUGUAAUUAGUGAUGAUCUUCAUCGUCUCCAUGCCCAUCAGGAGGUCCUCCAGGGCCCACUACUUCCAGCUGUUAAAUCACCAACAGAAUAAUCAGGAAAUUUCUACAAUUCAAAAAAAACCUAGAAUAUCUGGCGUGGAAGUGCAGUAGAGACAGUUGACCGAAACAUUUGAUACAUUCAUCCAAAUCCAAGCAUCUUUCAGGGAAAGAUGAUAAAUGAACAUUUGCUUAAACAUUAAGCUCAUUCAAUUCUGCUGAAGUUAAAUAUUUUAUAUGACAUGAUGCAUUAUAGUAUAAAUUCCAAUCAGAACCUAGCCAAACUAAACAAUCAAAAUACAGUCUAAAUAAAAUAUUAAACAAUGAAUAAUUUUAUCUUAGUCAAUAUAUGAUUAAUUAAAGGUAGCAAAGCAUAUGAUUUUGCCCCACUUUUAAUUUGAUAAUGAUCAAGACAUCUAUUCUUAUCAGUGAUAAAAAUAUAUCAUAAAUAUAUACCUCAUGGUCAUGGAGUAAUUUGUCACGUGAAUAUUGGUUGAUCAUUCACACCAUGUCAAUUAAGUAUACAGUGAAACCAUCUAUUAUGACAAUCAAUUGGCCAACCACAGUGGUUAUAGAUCUCUAUCUAAAUCGAGAUCUAGCGCAACACAAAGUAGAAGCAAAAUAAUAAACACUACAAGCUUCGAAUAAUAUCAGUUCUGAUCUCCUACUCACCACAAAGUACUGCGAGCAAACUGGACAUUCAUGAGGCUUGCCUUUCUCCAGCCAAAACCAAACAACGUCAUGCUCAUCCUCUCCUUCACCUCCAGGGCAACCAACAAUUCUCUUGUCAUAGUAUGACUUGACAACAGCCGGAGCUUCCUUUGUGCCAAAAGGACCAACAGGAUGGUUAAUUUCAAGAACAUCCUUCCCCUGAAGCUCAGCUUCAAGCUCCUCGCGCUCAUGUCCAGUAGCAAUAGGCAUUACAUCCUCAAUCCUCUUUUUCACAGCACCAUCUGAAUCGAUACUGAAGUAGCGAUUGGAGAGAGAAGUGGAAGGCGAUGGGGAAAUGAAGAAUCGAUUAGAGGAAGCAAAUAGGGAGACGGCGGAAGCAGAUCGGUAGGAGGAGGCUAGGGUUUUGAGCUGUGAAGAAAGUGCUCUUCUCCACAUCGUCUUCGUUUUGGUGGAUUUAGAUUCUGUGUUCUCUUGUGAUUGAAGGUCACACCCUGUAUGUAUCUCUGGUUUUCUUUCUGCUA
rnacentral:misc_RNA from 1 species